AUCCUUCUGUAGUUGAUAAGCUUGAUGAUUGGGUGUUCACACACAUGUGAGAUAUGCCACCCCGAACCUUGUUAGGACAUCAGCACAUUACCUAUCUGACA